rnacentral:rRNA from 1 species
GACAGAGGGUGCUAGCGUUGUUCGGAAUUACUGGGCGUAAAGGGCGCGUAGGCGGCUCGUUUAGUCGGGUGUGAAAUCCCAAGGCUCAACCUUGGAACUGCAUUCGAUACUGGCGGGCUAGAGACCGGAAGAGGUGGGUGGAAUACCCAGUGUAGAGGUGAAAAUUCGUAGAUAUUGGAUGGAACACCGGUGGCGAAGGCGGCUACCUGGACCGGAACUGACGCUGAUGCGCGAAAGCGUGGGUAGCAAACAGG